GAUGAACGCUAGCUACAGGCUUAACACAUGCAAGUCGAGGGGCAGCAUUUCAGUUUGCUUGCAAACUGGAGAUGGCGACCGGCGCACGGGUGAGUAACACGUAUCCAACCUGCCGAUAACUCGGGGAUAGCCUUUCGAAAGAAAGAUUAAUACCCGAUGGCAUAAUUAGACCGCAUGGUCUUAUUAUUAAAGAAUUUCGGUUAUCGAUGGGGAUGCGUUCCAUUAGGCAGUUGGUGAGGUAACGGCUCACCAAACCUUCGAUGGAUAGGGGUUCUGAGAGGAAGGUCCCCCACAUUGGAACUGAGACACGGUCCAAACUCCUACGGGAGGCAGCAGUGAGGAAUAUUGGUCAAUGGGCGCAGGCCUGAACCAGCCAAGUAGCGUGAAGGAUGACUGCCCUAUGGGUUGUAAACUUCUUUUAUAUGGGAAUAAAGUUUUCCACGUGUGGAAUUUUGUAUGUACCAUAUGAAUAAGGAUCGGCUAACUCCGUGCCAGCAGCCGCGGUAAUACGGAGGAUCCGAGCGUUAUCCGGAUUUAUUGGGUUUAAAGGGAGCGUAGGUGGACAGUUAAGUCAGUUGUGAAAGUUUGCGGCUCAACCGUAAAAUUGCAGUUGAUACUGGCUGUCUUGAGUACAGUAGAGGUGGGCGGAAUUCGUGGUGUAGCGGUGAAAUGCUUAGAUAUCACGAAGAACUCCGAUUGCGAAGGCAGCUCACUGGACUGCAACUGACACUGAUGCUCGAAAGUGUGGGUAUCAAACAGGAUUAGAUACCCUGGUAGUCCACACAGUAAACGAUGAAUACUCGCUGUUUGCGAUAUACAGUAAGCGGCCAAGCGAAAGCAUUAAGUAUUCCACCUGGGGAGUACGCCGGCAACGGUGAAACUCAAAGGAAUUGACGGGGGCCCGCACAAGCGGAGGAACAUGUGGUUUAAUUCGAUGAUACGCGAGGAACCUUACCCGGGCUUAAAUUGCAUUUGAAUAUAUUGGAAACAGUAUAGCCGUAAGGCAAAUGUGAAGGUGCUGCAUGGUUGUCGUCAGCUCGUGCCGUGAGGUGUCGGCUUAAGUGCCAUAACGAGCGCAACCCUUAUCUUUAGUUACUAACAGGUCAUGCUGAGGACUCUAGAGAGACUGCCGUCGUAAGAUGUGAGGAAGGUGGGGAUGACGUCAAAUCAGCACGGCCCUUACGUCCGGGGCUACACACGUGUUACAAUGGGGGGUACAGAAGGCAGCUACCUGGUGACAGGAUGCUAAUCCCAAAAGCCUCUCUCAGUUCGGAUCGAAGUCUGCAACCCGACUUCGUGAAGCUGGAUUCGCUAGUAAUCGCGCAUUCAGCCAUGGCGCGGUGAAUACGUUCCCGGGCCU
rnacentral:rRNA from 1 species